rnacentral:sRNA from 1 species
GCCGGGCGCGGUGGCCCAGGCCUGGAAUCCCAGCGGCUCGGGAGGCUGAGGCAGGAGGAUCGCGAGUUCAAAGCUAGCCUCAACUACUUAGCCAGGCCCUGAGCCACUCAGCGAGACCCUGUCUCUA